UACGAAGGGGGCUAGCGUUGCUCGGAAUCACUGGGCGUAAAAGGUGCGUAGGCGGGUCUUUAAGUCAGGGGUGAAAUCCUGGAGCUCAACUCCAGAACUGCCUUUGAUACUGAGGAUCUUGAGUUCGGGAGAGGUGAGUGGAACUGCGAGUGUAGAGGUGAAAUUCGUAGAUAUUCGCAAGAACACCAGUGGCGAAGGCGGCUCACUGGCCCGGUACUGACGCUGAGGUGCGAAAGCGUGGGGAGCAAACAGG
rnacentral:rRNA from 1 species